GGACCCGCACAAGUAGUGGAGCAUGUGGUUUAAUUCGAAGAUACGCGCAGAACCUUACCAACACUUGACAUGUUCGUCGCGACUUUAAGAGAUUAAAGUUUUCGGUUCGGCCGGACGAAACACAGGUGCUGCAUGGCUGUCGUCAGCUCGUGUCGUGAGAUGUUGGGUUAAGUCCCGCAACGAGCGCAACCCUUACUUUAGUUGCCAUCAUUUAGUUGGGCACUCUGAAAGAACUGCCAGUGAUAAGCUGGAGGAAGGUGGGGAUGACGUCAAGUCCUCAUGGCCCUUACGUGUUGGGCUACACACGUGCUACAAUGGCAUUUACAAUAGGAAGCAAGAUGGCGACAUCAAGCAAAUCCUAAAAGAUGCCUCAGUUCGGAUUGUACUCUGCAACUCGAGUACAUGAAGCUGGAAUUACUAGUAAUCG
rnacentral:rRNA from 1 species